rnacentral:lncRNA from 1 species
AUGCAUUGCCAUUGUGGGUAUUACAUGUUUGUUUUCUGCCUUUUCAUUAUUUUUUUUUACUGUGCAGAAGCUUCAAAUGGGGAACUGGAAGAGAAGACAUCAAAUAAUAACGAGGCUUUGCCUUCUACAGUCAAAAGCUUUGCCUUUCUCCUGAGAAAGGAAUCGUGUACUGACGGAGGGGAAGACCAUCUUCUGGAUCCAACUGAAGUGAAUUCGUCAGGAACAGCUCCGUGCUCAUCACCAGGAAGUUCUAUUCCAGAAAGCAAACACUCCACUGGACCUGAUGGUGGUUCACCCUCUGAUCUUGAGCAUGCGCCUUUUGACGUGGAAGAUAGUGGUUCUGUUUGUAUGGUGAGGGAUGUGGCAACCACUGCGCAGACUAUAGAGGAAGAUGUUUCUGCUGUCUCAGAAGCUUCGGGGUCACAACUAGGAGUGCAGCCUUGGUCCUCUGAAGGAAUCUCAUCUCUUCCAUUACCACCACCUCCUUUUAAAGAGGAGUUGCAGGCUGCACCUUCCUGUAGCGCAGCUGAGGCCAUCUCAACCACUGAUAAACUGAUAAUGAAUGCAGAGGUUCCUUCCUACAUGCAGCAGUUUCCAGGUCAAGUAAUCAUUUCCUUUGAUGGGCAAGCUCUUUCUUCUGUAAAGCUGUCAUUAAAUGCAGACCAACUCUCAGGCCUGAAUGCUAAUGAUGCAAUGUUCCAGCCUGAGCAAAUGGGAACCAUAGCACCGAUGGAAUCAGCCGGGCAACCUUUUUGCUUCAGAGUGGAAUGUUGCAUUCUGGAUGAGACGCUGAACAACUGA